UGACUCAGUGGUAGAGUGCUUGCCUCAGAUGCAUGAAGCCCUGGGUUCGAUUCCUCAG
rnacentral:tRNA from 1 species